UAUUACAAGUACUCCAUAUGAGAUAUGAAAAAGGCAAAAAACAGAUUGUCCAACUUAUGUGAAAAGAGUGAUGUACAUAAGUUUGUGCUAGAAUAGAUUUUUAUUAGUUUAUAGGUUAUCCUAAAAGAAUAGUAUGUGAUAUUAUUUCUAUCGUCUUACUUGACAAAAGGUGUUUUGUCAAUAGGUAUGCUAUCUUUUAGAGAAAAAAAAUUUCUAAAAAGAGAAAGUGGGAGGAUAAUUGAACUUGAGAAGUUUAAGACCUAUAAACUAUCCUAUUUUAACCUGUAGAGUGUCCACAAGUUAAUCCUCAAUCAGAUGUACCCAUUGACGAGGCACGACCAUGAUGUACACCUCCUCAUCGGAAGGUUAUUUUGAGUGUAUAAUGUACCACUCAAAAUAUGACUUUGUCAUUGUGAAUGGCUAGUACACCAUACAUCAUUGUGAAUGAUAUUUUACUUGACCCAUUCGAAAAUUAUUAUGAGUAGAGACUCUAACAGUUGGCCUGAAACUUUGACAUCCAAAAUAGACUCCCUAUACAUCAACCAAGUGUGGGCUAUGGUUGAAGCACCUAUGGAUAUGACCAAAUAGGUUGCUGUCAGAAAUAUCUAUUCAGAUUUUUGCUAUUGCCACACACCAUCUAGAGAAGUUGUCUCUAGUGGGAGGGCAAAUGCUUUUAUGAAUUCAGGCAGUUUAUGAAAAGUGGGUACUUCUAUUUUUUUGAUAGGACAGUCAAAAUGUUUAACUUUAUCAAAAAUAGAUGAACCAUGUGUUUGUGCAAGAAAAUAAGUGGGAGUUUCACUAACUUUUUGGUUAUGUAUGUGGGGACAUACAGCAUAUUGGGAAGGUAGUCUCGAUAUUACACUCGAUCAAUAAUUUGCUUAUCACAAGAAUUUUCAUAGAAAUAGACUUGGGUUAAGCAUCCAAUAUAUUUGACAUCUAUAAAGAUAUGUGUAACUGGAUGCAGGGCUUGUCCCAUCUAGGUACAUAGAAUUUAAUGUUGAAAGGGUUCAACAUGAAUGGAUGUAAAAGUGUUUACUUACCCAUACAUUCAAUGUACUAAGCCUGAUAUGAAUUAUGCCUUGUGCAUAAUCAUUGAUUUCAGGUACAUCCAUAAUAGGAUCUUAUGAAAAUUAUGAAAAAAUAUUCUCAUAGUACUUGAGAAGUACUAGAUGAGCAGUGAAUUGGAAGAGUUUCAAGCAAUAAACUGUGUUUGACUCAGUUAAAUGUUGUUAGUAAAGAUUGCUUAGGAAAGUUGCCUGAUGAUAGGUUCAUCAUUAAGUUAGGUGUCAUCUCACCGAGUACCCACGCACAUCUUAGGUGCUUUCAUCUUAUUCAUGAUACGAUCAUAAAUUGAGCUAAUAUUAAAGAACAAUAUAAUAGGAUCAGUUCACUAAGCCAUACACAGCAGCAGUGUAAUCACCAUCCUGAUUGCAUGGGCAUCAGGUACAGGGGCGAUUGGCUUUAGUGUAAGUGAGAGAUUGAAAGAAUAGUGUCCUACAAGUCAAUCGCAUGGGGAUGUGAUGAGACUUUUUUUUAUUAUCUUUCUGCUCAUUUGCAUGAUAUUAAUUAUUUUAUUUAUAUGAGGUAUUAUAUUUUAUCAUUUGCUGUAUCAUUUUUUUAUAUGAUUAUGAUAAAUCUCAUAGAUUAGGGCAAUGAUUUUAAGGUCAUGAUGAGAUUAUGCCAGUGAGAUCUAAAAUCGUGAUAGCCUCAAUCUAAAAUAUUCUCAAUCGUUGGAUCAUCGAGUCGGAGAUCGAUGACUCCGAUAAGACUGGUACAUCCUAUGUAUACUCGAUACAAAGGAUGGUUGAUCUCACAAUCACUUGUGUGGUGACACUAAUACAAGGAUGUAGAUGCUCAUUAGAGAAUGAGUUUACUAAAUAGACCUGCAAAAGAAUAUCUGAUGGAGUCUUACAGCAUGUCAGCAGAUGGUUCUUCAAUAUGAGUGG
rnacentral:lncRNA from 1 species